rnacentral:rRNA from 1 species
ACGAACGCUGGCGGCGUGCUUAACACAUGCAAGUCGAACGGAAAGGCCCUGCCUUUGUGGGGUGCUCGAGUGGCGAACGGGUGAGUAACACGUGAGUAACCUGCCCUUGACUUUGGGAUAACUUCAGGAAACUGGGGCUAAUACCGGAUAGGAGCCCCUGCUGCAUGGUGGGGGUUGGAAAGUUUCGGCGGUUGGGGAUGGACUCGCGGCUUAUCAGCUUGUUGGUGGGGUAGUGGCUUACCAAGGCUUUGACGGGUAGCCGGCCUGAGAGGGUGACCGGCCACAUUGGGACUGAGAUACGGCCCAGACUCCUACGGGAGGCAGCAGUGGGGAAUAUUGCACAAUGGGCGGAAGCCUGAUGCAGCAACGCCGCGUGCGGGAUGACGGCCUUCGGGUUGUAAACCGCUUUCGCCUGUGACGAAGCGUGAGUGACGGUAAUGGGUAAAGAAGCACCGGCUAACUACGUG